rnacentral:rRNA from 1 species
UACGUAGGGUGCGAGCGUUGUCCGGAAUUAUUGGGCGUAAAGGGCUCGUAGGCGGUUUGUCGCGUCGGGAGUGAAAACCUUGGGCUUAACUCAGGGCUUGCUUUCGAUACGGGCAGACUAGAGGUAUGCAGGGGAGAACGGAAUUCCUGGUGUAGCGGUGAAAUGCGCAGAUAUCAGGAGGAACACCGGUGGCGAAGGCGGGUCUCUGGGCCAUAACUGACGCUGAGGAGCGAAAGCAUGGGGAGCGAACAGG